GGCUCAGUUGGUAAAGCACAAGGCUUUUAACCUUGUGGACGUGGGUUCAAGCCCCAU
rfam:Triticum aestivum genome assembly, contig: Triticum_aestivum_CS42_TGACv1_scaffold_376247_5AL